UAGCUAUAGGACUAAAGUGUAAGGAAUGCAAAUUCACUAUUUGGAAGAUUCCUUGCAUCACCGGUGAAGUUACCUGCGGGGAAGAUCAGAGCUGUGCCAAAAUUAAAGGAGAGGCAUUUGGCCAUGAAAUUCUAA